AUGGUGAUAAUAAAAUUAGGGGGCUCCCUAGUCUAAUAUCUCACGUCUCAUUUGAAUUCAGUCCAAAGAAUGAUCAGGAAUUAUCUCAAAGUCAAUCAAACGAUCACCUCACUGAAAUCAGAAGCUCUUAAAGAGAGACAUUGGAAGCAGCUGACAAGGAACUGGGUGUGUCUUGGACCUGUUUGUCCUGUUUUUAGGACAGGUUUGUGGAGUGGAGUCAGUAGACCUCAUUAAAAAUGACUGAACGAGGUUAUCAUUAAGGACAUGAUCUGGGUAGUACAAGGAGAAAUGGCUUUAGAGGAGUUUCUUAAACAAGUUCGAGAGCAGUGGAUGAUGUAUGAAUUGGAUUUAAUUAACUAUCAGAACAAAUGCAAGCUGAUAAGAGGAUGGGAUGAUCUCUUUGCUAAAGUGAAGGAGCAUGUCAACUCAGUAACUGCAAUGAAGCUAUCACCAUUCUUUAAAGUAUUUUAAGACAAAGCUCUUGCUUGGGAGGAGAGACUGAACAAGAUUAAUGCUAUUUUUGAUGUUUGGAUUGACGUCCGGAGAGGCUGGGUUUUACCUUGAAGGUAUCUUCACCAAACGAGACUUAAAGGUUUCAGUGCAUAUCGGCCAAGUUUCUCACAGUCAUGAAGAAAGUUUCAAAAAGUCCUCUUGUAAUACAAGUCUUGAGAGAUUAGCUGAUUUUCUAGCCAAGAUUCAACGAGCACUUAAAGGUUAUUUGGAAAGAGAGAGGGCCUCAUUCCCAAGAUUUUAUUUUGUCGGUGAUGAGGAUCUACUUGAAAUUUUUGGGAACUCUAAAAACAUUGCUUAACUUCAGAAGCACUUUAAGAUAUUGUUGCUUGUAUUGCUACAGUGACACUGUCUGAUGAUAGUAACUGGAUUCAUGGAAUUAGCUCAAAGGAAGGAGAACAGAAUUAUUGAUAAUGUUCAUGGUUAGAUUAAUAAGGGACAGUGGAUCAUUUUUGACAGAGAUGUUGAUCCUGAGUGGGUGGAGAGUUUAAACUCUGUACUGGAAAAUAAUAAUUACUGACACUACCUAAUGGAGAGAGACUCAGUAUACCACCCAAUGUCCGCAUAAUGUUUGAAGUGCAAGACCUUUAGUUUGCUAGCCCAGCCACCAGAGUCGUUGGGGUAUGGUCUGGUUCAGUGAAGAUGUCUUAACACUUAGCAUGGUCUUUGAUCACUUCAUAUCCAAAAUGAAAUCAAUACCUAUUGAAGAGGGAGAGGAGGAAUUGAGGGGAGGAGAGGGCACCUCUGACCAGGAGACAAUCUCUCCCAUUA